rnacentral:piRNA from 1 species
UGAUUCCGCAAUAAGGCCUUG